rnacentral:pre_miRNA from 1 species
ACCACUACUCAAAUGGGGUCUUUGUUUCAACUCCUUCAAACACGCCAUUUGAGUAGUGGCCG